AUUGAACGCUGGCGGCAUGCUUUACACAUGCAAGUCGAACGGCAGCACGGACUUCGGUCUGGUGGCGAGUGGCGAACGGGUGAGUAAUACAUCGGAACGUACCCAGUAAUGGGGGAUAACUAUCCGAAAGGAUAGCUAAUACCGCAUACGCCCUACGGGGGAAAGAGGGGGAUCGCAAGACCUCUUGUUAUUGGAGCGGCCGAUGGCUGAUUAGCUAGUUGGUGAGGUAAAGGCUCACCAAGGCGACGAUCAGUAGCGGGUCUUAGAGGACGAUCCGCCACACUGGAACUGAGACACGGUCCAGACUCCUACGGGAGGCAGCAGUGGGGAAUCUUGGACAAUGGGCGCAAGCCUGAUCCAGCAAUGCCGCGUGCGUGAAGAAGGCCUUCGGGUUGUAAAGCGCUUUUGUCAGGGAGCAAAUCCUUGUGGCUAAUACCCACCGGGGAUGAGAGUACCUGAAGAAUAAGGACCGGCUAACUACGUGCCAGCCGCCGCGGUAAGAC
rnacentral:rRNA from 1 species